AUAUGAAUUUUUCUUGGUAUAUCAGAGAAGACAGAUGCCUGCAUAGACCAGCAUGCCAGUGCCCAGGUAAAAGAUACCAUAGUCUAACAGACAAAAGUUGCUCCUCACCUUCUCUUCAUUGAGCUAAAGAGACAGAAGUCCCUGAGUACGACAUUGUGUUCCAGUUAUUUGCUGUUGUCACUGAGGGCUUGAGAAGGUUUGAAGGUAGAUAAAGGCAAUACCCUUCAUCUCUGUGAAACUUUAACGACUCGAUAUUCCUGACUAUAAAUAACAAAUGGUCAGCCCAGGCAGCCUCAAAACGACUACUGUGGAAUAAAACACCUUGAAAGGAACUCUGAGGUACCCUUAUUGCUGUGCGGAA